AAUUUCGGAAUGGAGAUAGAAGUGCCGAAAGGAUGGAAACGGGUGCCUCAAUUUCUCCAACCUCUGAAUACUGAAUAUUUAUCGAGAUCGGACUAUAAAUAAAGGAAAUAUAACGAUAUGUAAUUUGACACCAUUGAAAACACUUAAAACGCGAUAUCUCGUAUAUUUACACACGUGCGCAUACUGAGAGAUCAAUAUAUGCUGCACCGCUCUUAUAAAAUAUGACAAUAGUAAUUAUUUGCCGCAACCAGGUAUCGUGUAUGUGCACCUAUAUACUAAAGUCACUAGAUAUAGAAAGUAACACAAUCAUCCGCCAUUUUGGUGAAAAUUUGCUGCCAACUUAAAAAAAUUUAAAAAUAAAAACUGAAUAUCAGUAAUUUUUUAUAGCCUAACUUCAUAGUACUGUCAUGUUUUAUAUAAAUAUAAUCCCAUCUCUAAACAGGUGAUACAAUCCCCAACAUUAAAGUUACUAGAAUUUUUUUGGGCAAAAAUUAUGCUUUCUCUCUUUAACACACGAGCCAAAUGGAUUGCGGUACUUUCUAUAUUUAUCCAAUACAAAAUAUAACCUAUAAUUUCACAAACUAUAAUUUCUAAUUCUUAUUACUAUCGUUCCUUUCAACACGACUUUUUUCAAGACUACCAGUUUCUUUCGAAUAUUUACAAGUUGUAGCGUGUAAUAGGCAAUAGGUUUACUUCGACAAGCCUUUUACUUCUUAGAAGAGAAUAAGAUGCGUUUGCAGUUCUGUUUCCGUAAUGGAACUAAAGAUGAAAGUGAAGUUUGAGAGUACUCGAUACGUUUGUGUAUACAGGAGUUUCGAUAAACGGAUGUCAACCGUGACGAGGAUUACAACAAUAUACGCCGAAAUGCUCGUCGUUUACUUGAACGGUUUCACAUACAGGAAGUCUUGCUUCUGGGAAGUCACCUGGCCGCUUAGCGAUUGCUAAUAAGGCGUUUGUAAAAGAUAUUCUUGCUCGUCUUGAACAAAGUCGAAAAAAGCAACUGCGAUAAUUUGUCCCACUAACGGAUAUCUCAUACGGAACGUGUGACACUAUUGCCUGGAGAAAAUUGUACUUCUAUCCUUUAAAGUAACCGUGUUACAAGAACUCAUCGUCUGGACUUGCAAAGUCCUAAAAUAUUGCAUGCAAAUUUACUAGAUGUCAACGUAUUCGAAACCGUUUACACACCAUUGCCGAAUUACGAGCAGAUAUAGAAGCUACCGUUUGAAGCAUUAUGCAACGGCACUUACAUGCCGGCUUCGAAAACAAAGAAAAGAGUGGACCCCUGUCUUAAUUAUGGUGACGAGAUCUUCGAACAGUUGUUUAUAACAUGUGAUUUAUCCAAUUACUUCAAUAUUAACGAUUUGUAAAAGAAAUAAAAUUGUUUCAAUUGUUGUA